rnacentral:rRNA from 1 species
CAAUAGCGUAUAUUAAAGUUGUUGCAGUUAAAAAGCUCGUAGUUGGAUUUGUGGUGUACUUCGGCGGCCCGUCACUAUGUGAUGGAGCUUGCUGAAGUCGCCAUCCUUGGGUGGAUCCUGUGUGGCAUUAAGUUGUCGUGCAGGGGAUGCCCAUCGUUUACUGUGAAAAAAUUAGAGUGUUCAAAGCAGGCUUAUGCCGUUGAAUAUAUUAGCAUGGAAUAAUAAGAUAGGACCUUGGUACUAUUUUGUUGGUUUGCGCACCAAGGUAAUGAUUAAUAGGGACAGUUGGGGGUAUUCGUAUUUCAUUGUCAGAGGUGAAAUUCUUGGAUUUUUGGAAGACGAACUACUGCGAAAGCAUUUACCAAGGAUGUUUUCAUUAA